UACGAGGGGGCAAGCGUUGUUCGGAAUUAUUGGGCGUAAAGGGCGCGUAGGCGGUUUGGCAAGUUUGGUGUGAAAUCUUCGGGCUCAACUCGAAGUCUGCAUCGAAAACUGCCGGGCUUGAGUAUGGGAGAGGUGAGUGGAAUUUCCGGUGUAGCGGUGAAAUGCGUAGAUAUCGGAAGGAACACCUGUGGCGAAAGCGGCUCACUGGACCAUUACUGACGCUGAGGCGCGAAAGCUAGGGGAGCAAACAGGG
rnacentral:rRNA from 1 species